CCUACGGGAGGCAGCAGUGAGGAAUAUUGGUCAAUGGCCGCAGGGCUGAACCAGCCAAGUCGCGUGAGGUAUGACGGUCCUAUGGAUUGUAAACCUCUUUUGUCAGGGAGCAAAGGGCGCCACGUGUGGCGCUUUGCGAGUACCUGAAGAAAAAGCAUCGGCUAACUCCGUGCCAGCAGCCGCGGUAAUACGGAGGAUGCGAGCGUUAUCCGGAUUUAUUGGGUUUAAAGGGUGCGCAGGCGGAAUGUCAAGUCAGCGGUAAAAUUUCGGGGCUCAACCCCGUCGUGCCGUUGAAACUGGCGUUCUUGAGUGAGCGAGAAAUAUGCGGAAUGCGUGGUGUAGCGGUGAAAUGCAUAGAUAUCACGCAGAACUCCGAUUGCGAAGGCAGCAUACCGGCGCUCAACUGACGCUCAUGCACGAAAGCGUGGGUAUCGAACAGGAUUAGAUACCCGAGUAGUC
rnacentral:rRNA from 1 species